rnacentral:lncRNA from 1 species
GUCAUUGCAGGUGCCUAGAGAAAUGCAUAGAGUCCUUGCUCCCCACAAUGAUGAAUUCUUCGAGGAAGUCAAAAUGUGAUGGGAGGAUUGCUGUGCCAGGGUCAUUUUACGGAGUAUGAAAGAAGGCAAUAAAGCCACUAAUCAACAGGGAUAAAAUGGAAGCCAACUUUGCUCUGGUGAAGGCCCUUCCCAUUCUCUUUCCCUCGGUGGCACAUCCAUCAAAGAAACUGGGAUGUGCUAGUGAAGCUUUACUGCAUGUUCAGGAGUCAACAGAAGAUCCAAACGUCUUCAUCCAGAAGAGAGGCCUGUCAAGUCCAGUCUUGGUGUUCGAUGGCUGUAGAUGAAUCGUUGCUAUUGGUUUGAUGCCAGUGACGUUUGAAAAAGAAAAGCUUCACGAGGGUCUGAUUUUCUAAAUGGCAUAUUUUUACACACUACAUCUGACCUACACAAAAUGCGUGGCCACCCUUCUGUCAUUCAGACAGAUCCUUCAGGAUACAAUUCACAAGCGGGACAUCACCACCACAUGAAAGAGCAUUAAAGUAAAGAAUUUGUUGGAAAAUGAACUGCUUUUGCAGUUCAAUGUUUAUGUCUGUUCUUUAGAUGAGUAUUCUAAUUGUGUUGUUAAAGAAACUGUUGUAUUCCUAGAAAAUUUGGGUACAUUUGUAACACAAAUCUCAGUUUGUACGUUGAAUAAAAGAAUUGAAAAGUGAAUUUGUUUUCAUUCUUUUUAGUAUUGAAACAAGAAAAAAUAUCUUUUGCAACUGCUUGUUUCAAGAUUUAUUUUCUGAAUUUUAGUGGGCAAUACAUUUUAAUCAAGCUCCUAUAUCCUAGUUUCUAGUUUUUUUGUCUUAAAUUACUGCUUAAAAUAAGUGUUUUUGCCUAAUUUCAAGAUUUAACCAAUUUACUAUGGCUUAGAUAUUUUUACUUAAAUCAAGACAUCUUGUUAAGUAAAAUUUACUAGCUGCACUGGCAGAUAAUUUGACUUAUUUCUCGUCAAUUUCUACUAAAAGCAAGUACUUUUUUCUAGAAUUAAGAUGGUGGUUUUUUGCAGUGUAUUAGGUUUCUGAUAUAAAUUAUAAUUGUCUGUUAUUCAAAUUACAUGUUUUGUGUGCAAUUAG